GCGGCGUCGCGGGCGGAGCAGGGGCUUCGACGCGUUUCGGCGAGGCAACGUCGGAUCCGGGCCGGCUGCUGUGGGCAGGGGUGCGGCUGCAGAGGUGUAGUGAUUGGUGCAGCGGCGGCUUCGAGCAGCAGGGGACGCUGGGGCGGCUUCGCAGGUGGCGGUGCGGCGUCACGGCAAGGCUUGGCGCGGGCGUCGGGGCGGCGCAGGCUUCGGUGACCUGCGAAGCAGCAGCCGGCGUUGCUUGGCUGCUGGGUCGAAGGGGUGCAGACGAACGGGCUGAGAGACAGCAGCGGCGGCGCGGUGAACGACUCGGAUCUAUUCGCAUCGGGGUACUACUGCACGGCGGUGGCUUCGUCAGAUCGUGGAGCAACGGUGCGAGGAGACUCGGAGCGGUGAUGGCUGGGCGCGGGCGUCGCAGGCGAGGGACUCCGAGCGCGGGCUGAAGAUCGGAUCGUGGCUACCGCAGGGACCUCGGAUCUGCAGGCGCGGUGGUCUUCGGCUGAGGCGGAACGCGGCGAGACCAGAGGGAGCGGCGGCAGCGUCGGGGAAAGGCAGCGGCGUCGUGAGCGGCGCUGGGUCGCGGCUUCACGAGGGGAAGGUAGCUGGGCGUCGGGGCACGGACUCCUGUGGAUCGUCGCUCUGGUGGCGCAAAUCAGCAGCUGCGGAGGCGAACCGGUGGCGGAGGAUCAGGUCGCGGCUGCUGUCGCGAUGGAGCAGGGGAGGCUCGUGGGUCGCCGACGCGGGUGAUGCCGGCGCAGUCGAGGGCUGGUUCUCGGGCGGAAGGAGCGGUGGCCGGCUGCCGGAGGAAGAAGAUGAACAGCACCUGCUUUUUUUCUUUUUAUUCUUUUUUUCUUUUGCACUCACCUGUCCCCUCACAUCUCUUUUCUCUCUGCAACUCUUUCUCUUCUGCUGCACUUUUUCUUUUUCCAACAAAAGCUUAAAAACUUGACUUUUUCUCCACAAACCCUAAAGAAACGAUGGAAAAUUUUCUCUUCUCGCCUGAAUUUUUUAACCUUCGAAUCGAGAGAAAAAAAAAAAACCCCACAAUAUGGCCGUAUAUUCAAUGUCU
rnacentral:lncRNA from 1 species